GAUGAACGCUAGCGGCAGGCCUAAUACAUGCAAGACGAACGGUAAGUUGAGUAGCAAUACUUAGCCAAGAGUGUCGUACGGGUGCGUAACACGUAUGCAACCUACCCUAUACAGGAGGAUAGCCUAGGGAAACCUGGAUUAACCCUUCAUAGUAUUAUUGGAUGGCAUCAUUUGAUAAUUAAAACUGAGGUGGUAUAGGAUGGGCAUGCGUCUGAUUAGUUAGUUGGCGGGGUAAUGGCCCACCAAGACGAUGAUCAGUAGGGGUUCUGAGAGGAAGAUCCCCCACACUGGCACUGAGAUACGGGCCAGACUCCUACGGGAGGCAGCAGUAGGGAAUAUUGGGUCAAUGGAUGCAAGUCUGAACCAGCCAUGCCGCGUGCAGGAAGAAGGCCCUUCUGGGUUGUAAACUGCUUUUGCCAGGGGAUAAAAUUUCCAUGCGUGGAAAACUGAAGGUACCUGGUGAAUAAGCCACGGCUAACUACGUGCCAGCAGCCGCGGUAA
rnacentral:rRNA from 1 species